UAAACUCUGAAAAGGAUUGAGUUCCCCAAGGAGAAAUCAAAUUCAUAGUGUCUCAAGGAAUCAAAUGGCUUGAGUUUCAAGGACAAGUAACGUGCAUGGGAGUGACCAUUCUGCUAGCUCAGAGCAUCCCUCAAGUUCCACCCAUCUGGAAAAAGCCAGAUCACUUCAAGGGACCCGCCCUCUUUGCCAGUCUCCCAGCUUUCAAAGGCCUCUGUCCAGCAGUGGAUCAAGCACCUAGUAACUCACCCAGGGGCAGAGACAUAGGCACGCACUCAGCAUCAGGUGUUUUCUUAAUGAACCGGCUGAGAUAAUGGAGACGCGCCUGGGCAGCC